CGAGGGCGAGGUCAUACAAAUUCGAUGUAUCCCGCAGCGGGGGUGUUAUCAACAUAUUUGUGUAAUAAUGAGUGGGCGUAUCAAAGGCGCGCGCCAAUGCGCAUGCUCAGUAGCAAUACACCUCAUGGUAAAAUGAAAGCAAUGGAGGACAGGAGGCUCAGAAAAAGGCUAUGAUAUCUGGAAGAGUAUAAUCUAGGUUAGGAACAGAGAUCCCGCGCUUGCUAACGGGCCCGUGUUUCGAUGACUUUACCUCCCCGGCCAUCUUAGUUAGCCAUUGAGGUUAAGACAACCAUUGAUUUGAACGCGGAAGGAGAGCAGUGAACUCUACCUGCGUGAAUUAUUGGUCUGUGCCUCGAUCUAAAGUCAUCUGGACUCUGGAGCCUCCCUAUUUUCCGGCUUUGUACCUGUCGGUCCCCGCUCCGAGCUCCCUGGCCAAUGCCCAUACUUCAUUGAGAGUUGAAUUGAAUUCCAGCUUAUUUAGCUGUCCAAUAUGUUGCUUUGUAUAUUUUAUUUUAUAAAAAAAUUUCUGUCAAAA